GAGCAAUGAUGAGCCUGUAUUUGCCUGACAGCAAAAAAGACAUGAAGUCUUCUGCACUUGAACUGAGCUCC
rnacentral:snoRNA from 1 species